rnacentral:rRNA from 1 species
AGCGAACGCUGGCGGCAUGCUUAACACAUGCAAGUCGCGCGGGCAGCCUCGGCUGCCAGCGGCGGACGGGUGCGGAACGCGUAGGAACGUGUCCGGAGGUGGGGGACAACCCUGGGAAACCGGGGCUAAUACCGCAUAUGGCCCGCGGGCCAAAACCGAAAGGCGCCUCCGGGGCGGCCUGCGCCCGGUUAGGUAGUUCGGGGGGUGACGGCCCACCACGCCCGCGAUCGGUAGCCGGUUUGAGAGGACGAUCGGGCACACUGGGGCUGGGACACCGCCCAGACUCCUACGGGAGGCAGCAGUGGGGAAUAUAGAGCAAUGGGCGCAAGCCUGACACAGCAAUGCCGCGUGAGUGAAGAAGGUCUUCGGAUUGUAAAGCCCUUGCGGCGGGGACGAUGGUGACGGUACCCGCAGAAGAAGCCCCGGCCAACUACGUG